GCAUUGGUACAGAGGCAUUUCAGCUGAAAGUGCCAAAGGUCACAUCUCUGUUUGCCUUGGACCCUUUAUAGAUACAGAUAUAAAACCAGAUAAAUAUGACUGUUUGGAGCUAAAUGCGUGUGCUGCAAGAGUGUGUUAUUAAUGAGAAAAAAGCCUGAAGGCACAGUGACUCCUAGCUCAUGGCCAGCAGACCAUUGCUCUUGUUCUGGGGAAGCAAAUGGGAAAAGCAGAGCCAGCCAAGGAGCAGACAGCCUACACAGGGAUGGAUUUGCUCCUGGCCCUUUCUCAGGCAAGGCGAGAGCUUUUCCUGAGUGCAACCCACAAGACUGGAUCCACAGCUCCUCUGCCUGCAGCACUUCAAGACUUCCAGGUUGGAGACAAUGCGUCUGGAAAUUUGGGCUCAUUUUACAUGCAUAAGCAAGACUUUCUGCAUCGUAUUCAGAGAUGUGAACCCGAAAUCAUCUCUUCUGGGACUACAAGGAGACUAAGGAGGCUAACAGUCACUCUUUGGGAGCAAUGCAAAUACCAAGAGGAAUGGUUCCCACCAGCGCUGGAGCGCUGACACACUCACUUGACAAGCACCUGCCCUGGCCUCAGGCACUUCAGACUGGCCUUUGAUCACCAGAGAUCAAGAGUAUUUCCACCCAUACAAGGUAAGUCUGUUGGUUGCACGGACAGCUCAGAGGAAAUGGAGCUCCUGUGAAGACCUGAUUUUGGGCGCAUCAGUUCUUGUACAAGGAUUUCAAGUGUUAGAGGAGUGUCUGGAUUUUAAAUGUCUCGUGUGCAGCACACUGCUCCAAAAAACUCUCUACGUUAGGCUAGUCCUCAGGCUUGAAUAUUCAUGAAGGUAUUUUCCUACAUGAGCAACAUGUCCUAUCUCAUGUCUUAUGCCUGCCUCGAAUUUAAAGUGUGUGAGUGCAGCUAAGCCUCAUGUCAGGUCACCUGCAACUACAGAUAACCGCAGAUAAGUGCUAUGGGUAAUGCUGCUCUGCUGGGAUGAGCUCAGCUCAGAAGUGGUUUCCAGCACUUCUUUCCCUUAAGCAAUGAGCUGAUCUGGGCUGAACGCUAUUGCCAUCCUAAGAUACAGGGAUGAAGGCUGGCCUGCCAGAUGUGCUGGUACCUUUGCAAUGCCCCUAGAGGUAUGGUUGUCCUGGAGCUGCCAUGGCAGUGGGGCUGAGCUUGUGUUGGACACUGCCGAAACUGUGACUGCUGUAACCAGUCUAUGUCUCUGAGGAUGUGAGGGACAGUGAGCAUUAGCCUGUGUCUGUGAGUAGAUCUGCCUCUUAUUCCUGAAACACUGGUGCAGUGCUCUCCCUCUCAAAGCCCCUCUUACAAACCUCUCCAUCACAUUUCUACUCUUUGCAGGCAUUGUCAUCAUUAGCAAGCCUUUGCUGUCCGGGGCUGUGUCUGCACUGAGGACUGUCUUUCAGGGAUGUAUAAGGAAACCUGAGGCUUUCUGAAAGCAUUCUUGCCCUUUCCCAUCCCUGUGAAGUCGGUUAUCAGUUCAGCAAAUUCUUACAUACAGAAAAUGCAUUUGCCUACAGCAGAGGAGGUAAGAAAACACUAAUGGUGAGCAAACUGACCUGAGGGGGAACAUUUCCAGUUCUUCUGUGGUGUUUUCCCUGCUCAUUAAAGCCCCUCCUCGGGCCUAGGGCUGUGUUUGAUGGCAGAUGAUAACAACUCCAGAAGUGUGUCCCAUUGCCCAAAGGCUGCUGCUGUGGGCUCCUCUCUGCACAGCACAGGCAAUAUCCCAGCUUCCAAUAAGGAAGAGGCUACCCUUGUGUUUCAACAUGAUCCAUCUCUGGUGGAGAAACCAGGCUUCCUUCUGCUGAGCUCCCCCUCUGUGGCCUUUUCCGUAGUUUUGCACGAGCUCAAAGGCAUUGCAACAAAAGCAGUGGGGAGAAGUCGCAGUGUGGAUUUGUCAUAUACCAAAACCCACAUUUCUUCUGUAUCUCUCCAGCUUCUCAGGAAACUGGCUGGAAAGAGACCAAGUUGAACAUAAUCUUAUCUUUCAGCCUAGUUAUUUUAAGCCCAAACGGGUUCCUUGAUCCCUUCCAACUGAAAACACCCCUUGGGAUAGUAGCAGCACAUUGAGCAGCCGGCGUGGGCACAGGAGAUCAGUGCUUUUCUGGCUAGAGCCACCUUUGGUGAUGCCAUCUCCCCACACAGAGGACAGAGCGGUUGCUGCUGUGGCGCUGCCUGCAUCGGUUGGACUUUGGUUGCCAGGGCAUCGUAAAAUGACUCAACGGGGAUCAGAAAGUGGUAGGAUCAAACAAAAGUCACUCUGAAGCUGCUGUCGGUUGGCAAAAGAAUAAUUUAAAAUUAAACCAGUUCUGAAACUAUCUACCGCAAGCGGUUACAAGCCUCAGUGUUGUAAAACUGGGCUGUUUCCUCUUUUCCUCGCAACGAUGAUGCCCUUGAUUCCUCCUUAGGCUUCUUUGGCAAUUCUUGCAUGGUAAUAAAAAGGCAUGACACAGCAUAUGUUUUGUGGCUCACCUUGCCAAACAAAAUUACAACGUUAGUGUAGCUUCUUCGCCUUUGCAUAAUUAACUCUACAAAGGAGAGAGGGUAAGCAUCUGUGCCAAGACAGAAGCAAAAACAAGAAGUACGGAAGUCUGUUUUAAAGUCAUCUCUGUUCAAAGCAAUUCUUUUAAAAAUGACUUAUCUUGAAACUGUUGCAGACAAUUAGGGAAAGUCAUACAGUUUCUAAAUGUCUGUUAUGUUUUACGUCUGCAGCUACAUUGCUAAGAUGCAAAAAAAAAAGAAGUCGAUGCCUCUUUGAGAGCUCAUGAAAGCUGUGCUGGAGUGCAUCUUCUGCGCAACACGUGCUGGGGCCAGGAGGAUGCAGGCUGCCCAGGAGUGCUCAGUGCCCACUCUUCAGGCUCAGCUGGCAUCAUUCUCAUGUUUAAUAGCUUUCAGGACAGUCUCUGUGUUGCGCUGAACCACACAGUUGCCACAAGGGGAAUUUAGUGCAGGUGGAGGGGUAAGUGGGGUGAGAGGUGGGCCUGGUCCUGCUGCCUAUCCCACUGCCUUACUGUCAUCCUUGUUACCUAAACUAGUGUUAAUAGCUGAAUUAGGAUUCAAGCAGCCUGAGUAGUUCUAAUAUAGAGCAUUAAAGAGCAAAUCCUUUUUCCACUGAUGCCAAAGACAAGACUCCCAGGAAAAGGUCUGGCCCCUAGUUUCUGGCAAGUCCCCAGGCAGUCCAACUAAGUCAAGAAAAAAAGAAUAAGGGGAAAAAAAGAGAAGAGAAGAAGAGAAGAGAAGAGAAGAGAAGAGAAGAGAAGAGAAGAGAAGAGAAGAGAAGAGAAGAGAAGAGAAGAGAAGAGAAGAGAAGAGAAAAAGGAAGAAAAGGGAGGCGAAAUUAAAAGAAAAAGGGGAAAAUAGAAAAGAAAGAGAUGAGGAACACUUUACAACUAACUAUGGCAGCUGGCAGCAGGUCAUCCAGAUGGAGCAGGGAUCCUGCAUGCCUGCUCAGUCUCCCUUGCUUUAGGCAGCCUCCAGACGUGAAACCUUGUCACGCUCUGCUAUCAUAUCCAGUGCAACGCCCCACUGUGCACAGUGUUGUUCAGUCACAAAGAUGGUGUCUGUCUGCCCAAAGUUCUCACAGAGACCUUUGCACAAUGUCACUGCAGUCAAAACUUGUUUAUUAAAUGCUCACUUAGCAGAAAUGAGGUCAAAUCAUUUAAUGGCUAUUAAGAUGUUAAUGCAUUAAACACUAAAAUAUCACCUGUUUAUCUUAACCCUCAUUUACCUAAAUCACCUUAGCAUUCAUUGUGAUGACUGAGAUUUGACAGUGUUUGCUAAUUAUGUAAGAGUUGAGCUAGCACCAGUUGGUCUUACUGCUGCACCCAAGCACCUUGGUAACAAACAUUAUCAUCCACAGCAAACUGGAGCUAUUCCUAAAUAAUGAUGAUGAGAAAUUCCCAAAUACAGUAGAAAAAAGUCAAUGCCCGAAGAACAGCAAGAGGAGGGCUCUGCCUGGAAGGAAUCAUGACUGAAGCUGUGAAGUGUCAUCCAAAAUCACUGAUCCCUAUUGCUAAGCCAACCUAUGUUGAUAGCACCAUUCUGUGGCUGACCCAUCUGGCACAAAAGAGUCGCACAAAACCCUCCCAUUCAAUGUGGAGGCUUAAUGUCCAAGGUACACUUCAAAACACCUUCAUUCCCGUGCCACCGCCCCGUGGUCCCCACACCCUUGGAGUCUGAGGGAACAUCUCCAUGGCCCAAGCCCUGGUGCAGCAAGCUGGGGUGCCUCCAGGCAUCAGCAUCCCUCUCAGAGUUGGCACCGUUCAUGUCAUGGUGGUGCGUGCUCAGCAGCUGUAGCACUGAGUUCUGCUGCAGGGCUGAGCCCAGCUCUUUCUGCCCAUGGAGAUGAAUGCACGGUUGGCUCCCGAGCUGCAACUAAUAGAUUAAAGCUCCCAAUAAAUCAAGAGUUUUGCAAAAGCGUGAAUGACUGAUUUCACAAGGUGAUUAGAAUUAUCAAGGGAAAACAUUUGAAGUGCUCAAUAAUUUACACUAACCACCUGUACUUUUAAAAUAACUUUCCCCAUUCCCCUCCCUUAACUUUAAGGGAUUCUUGCCAUGUUCUUCAAGCCAUUUCCUUCCUUCCCUUCAGCUCUGAUUGCUGCGGAACACUCUUAAUAAAGAACGUACCGUAUCACUGGAGAUUGUUCUGGGGAUGAAAAAUGCAAUGUGAUUUAUUAUAACAUGGCCUAUGCAGGCAGCUGAUCUUAGCCUGCACUCUGCAUCCUUCCAAAAUCAAAACAAUUUGCAAUGUAAUAUUGUGAAAUUGGGUUUGUAUUCCAGUUUGCAUUUUAUGAUUCUUAUCCUUAAGAAAGCAUUUCCAAAUGCAUUUUCAGUUAGUUAGGUUUUUCCAUGCCUGCUUUUCGCUUUCAACAGUGCUAGCAAAGUCAUGCAUGGUUUGAAAGGUUUUACGCGUAAAUUUGGAACUCGUAUCACACCCUACUGAGCAGUGGGGACUGUUCAUUUAUUUGUUUAUUAAGUAGGAGUUAUUUUCUCUCCAGCAUGCUAUAAAGCCAGCUCUUUGACCUCAUUCCUCAACACGGACAAGAACUGAAUUCCUGGAAUAAAGAAAAAAAAUGGAGAAAAUGCACUCCCAUUUUGACAAAAAUAACUGAAGAGAUCCUUCCAACUCAAAAAAGCCUUCAGGAAAAAAUGUGGGACAUAUCCUUCACAGGUUGUCAACCUUCCAUUGGAAGCAGAAGAUCCAUGACAAUUCAUGCCACAGAGGUUUGCUGCCAGGUGGCGGAGGACAAAGUUCACUCUGGAGUGGUUUGCUAGCAGGGCAGUUGCGCAGUGGGUGGAAGUGCCCAGAUGGGAGGCAGGGAGAAGAUGGAAGGCAGAGAACUGAGGUGUGCAGAGGUGACUGGGAGGACACAUCACAGCCCCAUCUCUGAGAAGGGCCAGGAUGAUAGCUUAGGAAAACGCAGACACGAAGGGCAGUUGGGCAGUGGUACAGUCCCAGCUAAAUCCCUAGUUGUAAAGAGCCCGAAGGACUUUUUAUGCAGGAAUUUGCCUAACCACAUUUUAAGUCUGGUUAUACAUUGACAAGAAAAAAUGACCCACGGUGAGGCGUUCACACAGCCUGCUCUUUCACUUUGAUAGCCCCAGGCUUCUGCACCAUGAGAAGCAGUGGGUUAACAUGCCACCUGCACCCUGACUGUGCCACCUGGGACAGAUCUCAGGGCUGCCUGAGUUUAUUUUUAUUUUCCAAUAUUUCAACUAAAGAAAAUACCCACUAGCUGAUCUAUGAUAGAAAAGUAAAAUAAGUAUCGUACGUGUGCUCAACACAAAUAACUUACUUGAGAAACCCCUCAUACACCUCUGCUUUAUUGUUUUAUUUUCCAGUGGUGGUUUAUGGUGUUGUGAUGAAGCCAGAGGUUUGACACAAAGAGGUAGUCUUUACCCAGAUACUAAUAUUCAGUAGGUCAUCUUGUGAAAACAUACUGGAAUAGAAAUGAAGAGGGAAGGGGCUAGGAAGGGAAAAAGGAAGGAAAAGCUGGACAGUUCAGGGAGCAAAGAAAAUAGCCACAGUGCCACUAGACAGAGAAAUAGAAUGCAAAUAGUGGGGUGAAGACCCACUUUGUAGAGGGACUCCCAUUCAUGAUUAUAUGGUAGAUAAAAGUUCAGUGAAACAGAAGCACACCAGCUGCAUUCACCUGGAGACUGUUGGCACCAUGUUGUUGACUGCAGCUUCUCUUGCAGAUGCAAACAUGAUCUCUGCUGUUGUGACACAAGCUGGGGUGAGCUGUCCUUCCAGCUCCUUCUGCAAAAGUGCCAAGAGCAUGACAAGUGGGGUCCAACAUACUGGUUUUGGCCAGCUCUCCCCAAAGCCAACAGGAGCCUUGAGUCAGGCCACAGGUAGGCGCAGGGCUUUGAGCAAGCUUAAAAAAAUAAAUAAUUACCCAUCCCUGUCCUCAUGGGGAUGCCUCUCAGAUCUUCCUGCAGCUUUCUUCACAGCUUGUUUGGAGCAUUAUGUAGUCUGACCCAAAUUCCAAGAGCACCAUCAGGACAGUUCUCCAGCUGAUGCCGUGGAUGCUCAGUUAGACUACGACACUACCACAGCAGCUUGUAAAUUUGUUUUUCUUCUUUUCGUAGAGCUUCCAAUGACUCAAAGAGCAAUCAUUGGAUGAUAUAUCAAACUCCAACUGCUAGAUAAAGAAGAGAAAUCGGAGUGUCUGCAAGGAUACCAGCUAUUGUUGUAUCAUCAUAGCUCUUCUGUAACAUUUUCUUCUCAUGAGGUGAUAUGAAGUGCAUGGAGAGGAGUAAGUUAUAAAGUUGUACUAAUGUGAUUGUUUGGGAUGUUAAAACAAAGUCAACAAUUCCUUUACAAACCAUCCCAGCUUCUGGGCAGAUAUCCCUGGAAGCUUCAGGAGUCCUCUUUGAUCCUGGCUGCCCCAUAAAGAAACAUCGUUUAUACUGAAUUAAUUAGCUGCCACUUAACCCUGGCGCCAAGAGUUGAUGUCAUGAGGCAAAACAAAAUGGAGCUAAUGAAAUCAAUAACAUCAUUAAAAUAACUCACAGCAGAGUUACUGACUGCCGUGCCGACUGUGCUUAUGGACCAAUUGCUCAGCACGUAAAGGGACUUCUGCAAGAACAUGUUCAAGCUAUGAAUGGCAGCCAGCAGCCAACUUGACAUCACUCUGCUCAGGUGAGCUUUUCCAGGACUGCACAGGGAGGUUGCAUGGGCACAGCCUUGGCCUGGAAGUGUCAGAUUGGUUUGGACAGAUGGCAGUAAGGAGUAGAGGGCAAGGUGCUCCCAAAGCAAAUUUCUGAGUGGGAGUUUUAAGCAGGAAGGUACAUUUAGGUAGAGCUUUUCUACUAUUAAUGAAGCUAGAGUAAGACAUUACUAGGAACAAUGCACACCAUGCACAGGAACAAGCUGACCUGGAAAGAUUAAUCUGUCCCUGAAGGCCUGAAGCAUCUUGGUUGGCUGCUGAGAAGCUGAAGCCCUGAUCAACAGUGCUUAAAGAGCAUGGACCACAGUGAGCUCUGGCUCAGUGAGAACUUCUUGAUGCUGUGCUUGCAGGCCUGAGCCCCCAUCAUUGGAAACACACUGUAAUGUCAAUGCUUAAUUGAAUGAAAGAUCUAACUGCAUGCUUCUUACACAGAAUUUCCAAAUGUUUGCAAAGUCUAAGCCCCCUCACUGUGCAAAGAUAUAAUAGAUACUGUCAAAAAGUCUUAAGACAGACAAACAGCAAUGGUAAGUCUUUCACUGUUCAAGUUUUACACAAUGUUUUCACCACUGUUAUCCGGCUCUCCUGUAUUUAAUGACAAGUUCAUAGGCGGGGGCAGGUAAUUGUGAACAUUAAUAUUAAUUUUUCCUGACACAACUAAGUGCUAAAUAUGCAGAAGCAUAUCUAUUUAGCUCUGUGCUGGUGCUCUUUCUGUGCUCUUCCCUGAACUGACUGCUGCUAUCAUCUCUUUAAGUUAGCUCCUUCCUGACUAGAUGCUCUGCAGUAUUUGAUUCUGACUUAUACAGGAAACUUGGGUCUGCAGGCAAAGGUGAAAGGCAGCUGGGGUGAGAGUGACCUUCAAGUGGCAAAUCUGAGGCAGAAAGGACAUUUGAAGAGUUAACAGUGCUGUAAGGAAGUUGUGUGGAAGGCACAAUCACAGAAGAAAUAGUAAAGAACUGCUUGUGAACUGCUUGGUAGCAGGGCAACUUAGCACAAGCCCUACAGGAGGCCCACAAGGUACAAAGUGAUUAAAUCAUGAGCUCUUCAUUAGUUUCAGAUGUGCAGUGGAAGCAGACAGAAAGUCAAACUAGGUCAUGUUACUAAGAGGAGGAAUGAAAUGAAAAAGAUAUAGGUGAUGCAACGAGCAGUGGGCGUGAAGUUUAUGCACUUGAAGUAAAAGGAGGGCCAGAGAAAGACCUGAGUUUCACAAGGAGGAGUUACUCAGUGACGAUACCAAAGACCUAAAUGGUUGUUACUUUCUUCCUUUGGUCUACUCAAAGGUGCCCAAGGAGUCAGAGAGCAAGCAGCUUAAUUUCAAUUCCUGGAAAAUGCUGGAAGUGGAAAUUGGUUAAGCUCUUUUCCAGCACCUAGAUGACAGCAAGCAGAUGAGGAACAGCAAGCACUGAUUUGACAAAAACAAAUCACAUCCAAUCAAUCUAAUUUCCUUCUGUAGUAGGCCUUAGAUCUUGAUUUUAGUAAAGCUUUUGCCAUUGUCUCACCUGACACUUUCAUAAACUAAGUAAAGAAACAUGGUUUAGAAGAAACUGCUAUUAGAGGAGUGUACAGCUGGUUGGAAAACCAGACUAAAAGCAGUUAUAAAUGCUUCACUGUCAAACUGGCGGUACGUAUCAAAUGAAGUCUGAAGCCAUCUGUUUUGUGUCUGGCAGUGUACGGUAUUUUCAUUAAUAUCUUUGAAGAAAUGAGAGUAGGGAACACUUAUUAAAUUAGCACAGGACACCAUGGAGAACAAGCGCUUUGGAGAAACAGGAUGAGAAUGCAAAACAAUCUUGACAAAUUGGAGGAAUGCUGGGGAAAACAAACGCCAUUGAGCAGGGACAAAGCAGAGCUCUGCAGUUGCGUAGGCGUCAUCAAGUACUAAAAGACGGCUGGGAAACAACCGGCACAGCAGCAGUUCUGCAGAAGAUCUAGGGAUGACAGCUCAACAUGAAUGAGCACGGUCAUGCUGCAGUAAAAAAUGAAAGUGCUGUAAUGAGGUGUACAAACAGAAGUUCAAUCUGCAAGAAACAGGAAAUAAUUCUUUCCCGCUUGUCUAUGCUGUGAAGACUUCAUUUGAACUGUGCAGGUUCGGCCACUGCAGUUCAGGACAGUUUCAGGACUGGAUAAGCUUGAGGAUUCAACUCAGCCUGCAGCCGAACACCUCAAACAUGGGAGGCCAUUCCACACUGAGGACAACUGAACCAAACAGAGUAAUCGUAUCUUUAGUUAAUGAAACAGCUUCGGUUAGAAAAAGAGGGUGAUAGGAAGGCAUAAAACCAGCAUGAAUUGAUUCAGCUUAAUAAAAUGAGCUGGUUUUAUUAUUUGCUUGCAGCCUACUUCGUAUUAUUCCCCUGGCAGAAGUGACAUCUCAUCACAAGCUUUUGGGAAUCUGUUGUUAAGGGUUUCCUCUUGCAGCUUACAGAGCAAUACCAUAGCUAUGCAAAAUUUCUACAAACUCACACUUUCUCCUCUCUUACCUUGAUGGUAACCUCCUCUCUAAUCUCCUGGUCUGUCAAAUGCUUCCUGUUGGCUGCUGUAGACAUCCUUGCUUGUGCCUCGAUGCAUCUUUUAGCUGUGACAGCCACAACACAACUCCCUGCCUUCCCUCAGGUGCCUAGAAAUGCAGCUCUGUCAUCUUCCUGUUCACGUUUAGCCUGCCCCCUGAAGUCCUCCAGGCUUUUAUUAUCAUGCAGGUUUGUGUUCCUCUCUACUCAUUAACCUCUUUUCCUCUAGCCUUGUCUCUUCUCUUUGCCACAUUAGACUUCUGCACUUCAUCACAUCAAGUCUGCAGCAGAUGUUUCCCUGGCUGCCCACAGACCUCGCACUCAGUGCAAGAAAGGGAAACUCCAUCUCAGUUGAAGUGAAACACAAAGAGGGAACUCUGGUAGUCCUCAGCAAUCCCAUCUGAAUCCUAUCUCAAGUCCAGAGGUAUUUCCUUUCUCUUUUCAUGAGAUUCAUUCACUUCUCCUUUCUCAUGACCCAGUCUCCUACUUGUACAGCAGAACUGAUGGCUCAGAUGGUGCCUUCUGACCUUAAAUGCCUGAAGGUUAACUAAGAAUGGGGGCUCGUGGCACAAGUAAGAGCACAGCAUGUUUUUAAAGAAACGCCUUGGAUAUGUUCAUACACUGCCAUAAAACGUAGCAGCUUGGCUUUGUUCAUUUGUUUUACCACUUGUUGUCUUCUUGCUAACUCUGUACUUCUCUGAAGUGAAGUUCAUCAGUGCACUGACACAGCGACGUAGUUAUGUAUGCCAGGCACAUAAAACACUGCCUAGCCGUAUUUUUGUUAGAAGAGAUGUCA
ensembl:lncRNA